AUGGCCGCAGCAAGCUGCCUCACCUUGAGUUGCUGGCCCCGUCGAGUCGCCGUCACCUCGUCGGAUUUGCGCCAAGCUGCCGCGUCGCCGCCGAACCGCCUGUAUGCCUGGACCAGGUUGCCGUUCCGGCCGGCUCCGGUGCACCCGCUGGUUCUCCAACUCCCCUUCCGCGGUGAAUCCCGUCGCUGCUCUGCCUCACCGGUGACCCGCCAGUGGCGCAUCUUACUCCUCAGCUGCUCCUGCGCCUCCCUGAACUGCCGCUUCCCUAAGCUCUCUCAGCCGCGGGAGGAACCGAGCGCCUCCCGCUCGAACCUUGCUGCCUUGGCGAGCCAUCGAAAAUUCAUAAUUGCAAAGGAGACCAUCAAAUUAUGGCCCUUGCCUCCACCGGACGGGUCAAUGGACAGGAGGAAACUGUCUCCCACAAAGCUCUGA
rnacentral:rRNA from 1 species